rnacentral:rRNA from 1 species
AUUGAACGCUGGCGGCAUGCCUUACACAUGCAAGUCGAACGGUAGAGGGGCAACCCUCGAGAGUGGCGAACGGGUGAGUAAUGCAUCGGAACGUGCCCAGUAGUCGGGGAUAGCCCGGCGAAAGCCGGCUUCAUACCGCAUACGACCUACGGGGGAACGGGGGGAGCGCAAAACCCCUCGCUAUUGGAGCGGCCGAUGUCAGAUUAGGUAGUUGGUGGGGUAAAGGCCUACCAAGCCGACGAUCUGUAGCUGGUCUGCGAGGACGACCAGCCACACUGGGACUGAGACACGGCCCAGACUCCUACGGGAGGCAGCAGUGGGGAAUUUUGGACAAUGGGCGAAAGCCUGAUCCAGCCAUGCCGCGUGCGGGAAGAAGGCCUUCGGGUUGUAAACCGCUUUUGUCAGGGAAGAAAUCCUUUGGGCUAAUACCCUGGGGGGAUGACGGUACCUGAAGAAUAAGCACCGGCUAACUACGUGCCAGCAGCCGCCGCCGUAA